rnacentral:lncRNA from 1 species
CGGCCUUGUGCGCGGCUCGUUCGUCAAAGCGACCGCAAACCGCGGAGGCUCUGCAGCAGAAGCACAUGGCGAUUAACCCUUUAAAACAUAUCACACUUGGGCACUCACAGUUUUAAGAAGAAUGUUUGGUCAUUCUUCUCCGACACGUUGAGAGGAAACGUGUGCGUACACCUACAUUAUUUAUCAGAACAACCAUUCUU